UUCGGACUGUAGGCUGCGACUCGCCUACACGAAGUCGGAAUCGCUAGUAAUCGCGGAUCAGCAUGCCGCGGUGAAUACGUUCCCGGGCCUUGUACAUACCGCCCGUCACACCAUGGGAGUUUGUAACGCCCAAAGUCGGUGGCCUAACCUUUAUGGAGGGAGCCGCCUAAGGCGGGACAGAUGACUGGGGUGAAGUCGUAACAAGGUACC
rnacentral:rRNA from 1 species